GGAAAAUCGACUUUGAUAAGCUCAUUAACAGACACUGCUCUCUACUGCAAUGAACGAUUGUUUGCCACAUUAGAUCCUAGACUAAAGAGUGUUGCUCUUCCUUCCGGAAGGAAAGUGCUUCUUAGUGACACCGUGGGAUUCAUAUCAGAUCUACCUGUGCAGGUAAAAGGAUAGUAUGGAUUGAAUCUUGU